UAGGGAAUAGCCAAAUUGGUACGGCACUAGACUUUGACUCUAGUAAUCGUAGGUUCGAAUCCUACUUCCCUAACCA
rnacentral:tRNA from 1 species